GAUCCACACAACUUUAAUCAUUUCUUUAAUUGAUUCAGGAUCCAUACGAUUUCUACAUAUAUAGGCACUAGCUAGGGAUGUUUGAUAUUGCGAGGAGGCAACACUUGUUUAUGGAGUUGUGGCAAGAGUCUAAGAGGGUAAAAAACCAGGACCAGCUUUGAGAUACCAUUGGUGUUCCCAUUAUAUACAUCACCGACAAUGAAAGGAAAAAAAGAAAUCCAAAGGUUCUAGUAUAAACACUAGCAACAAGUGUCACAUGGUGACUUUAGUGCGUCAACCCUUUACUGUUAUUCUUCUGAUGUCGAUAACAAUGAAGAUGAAGUAUAACAUUACCAACAAUCCGGAAACUGGACGUAACUAUGUAGAAUUCGAUUUAUAUUUUGGCGGUCCUUUGAAAAAUAGAAGAAAAUUUAUUUGUACAUGUUAAUAAUUCGAUGUAAUUACUACUUACGUUAUAUGUUUGUUAUGCUGGUGGAUUAUACAUCUUUUAAUAUUUUUAUCA